GGCUGCGCUACAUUGAUAAUUCACGAUCAAGGCUUCCGCCACUUAUUAUCGCGUAUACGGCUUCGGCCUUAUAUUACUAUAUUGUGGCUGCAUAGACGGUAGCGCUUACCGUUAGGGCAUACUAUAGCUUCAUCCUAGCAAGUCAUGAAUAGAUCCUUCCGUGCGGAGACCAGGAGCAGAACAAAGGAUGAUGGCAAGCGUUUUAUGCAUACUGUGGACAAAGUUCGUAAAUGGGAGAAGAAGUGGGUGGCAGUCAGUGAUACAACAAUGAGGAUCUACAAAUGGGUCCCAGUUUCUGUUGAGAAGCGAAAGAAGAUGAAAUCAUUGGCAAACAAAGAAAAUCAGAAUCAGGGUGGAAAGACUAUUGAGACACCCAGUCCAUCAUUUCUGGGAGAAGAUUCAAACACAGGUUUCUCGGUCACUUCAGACUCAAUGGACACGGACUUCCAGCAGAUCAACUUCUCCGAGGACUCAAACUCGCAGUCAAUGUCCGCACCUGGCGCCACCAAGCGGCCGUAGCUAAAACGACUGUGGUCUCAGGAAGCAGGAAGCGGAGUCGGCCAUCGCCUUCGCGGAAGUUAUUGCUGUGCCUCCCGUCUGUUACUGCCUCCCACUGUAUGGCGAGACUCCUCCCGACGCUCGUGCGCUGUGCGUCAAUUCCGCUAUCAUGCGUCCUUGGAGGUGUGCAUGGGUGUGCUCCAUCCUCUGCAAUCAUGUUCUUUGUCGUCAUUGAGCUUAUGUGUCUACCAGGUAUGACCUAUGCGCUGUUUUGCGUGGGGGCCGUCUUGAUUUUAAGCACUGACGAUCUCAUCUGAACGUGUGGUACCAUCCGCCGACAGCCGAUAGAGCUGCUGUCGGCGCCAGGCCUAUAUGGGCGCCAUAUGGCCUGGCGGUCGCCGCGCCCUUAAACCCAAAUCGUGAUCAUCGUCAUCAUCAUCGACUUUCCUGUCGUUUUUGGGAGGGUGUAGUGGGAUAAUUUUUUGAGGUUUGGGCUCGAUGGCAGUGCAUCUGAAAAGUUACAACGUAGACCGCUCAAUAAUUGUUACUCAGUAUAGGUUCGAAUGUUUGAAGCAAAAAUUGUCGCUCAAAAUCGGACAUCAGAUUAAUUUAUCCGUAAACCACAAUGCAAUGUUCAGGGUUGACCCGUGUGGUUGGCAGUGGCUCGGGGGUGAACCCAGCCCCAUGCUCGGAACUGCAGCCUCCAGUCGGGUCAGCUAUCUCAUCUGCCAGACAUGCAGCCAGCCGGAGAGAGUCUUUUGAUGCCAGAACGACAGCCAUCUACUUGGAAUAUGAAUCUCUGUCUAGGUCUAGCCGGAAGUUUACGUUUCGUUCCAUGUAGAAUAUCUGCGUUUGCUUUUAUAUUUCUGACCCGGCUUUUCAAAAUGGCGGCAGGUUUCGUUGUGGUUAUCUUCGCAAAUGCACUGCGGUCGAGCCUUGCCUUAAGAUUAUCCUUGAAAGCGCCUGUUCGGAGCGGGGCACCGACAGUGCCAGAUUUGUUCCGUCGGCCUUCGGUACUCUUGCACAUUUCGUUUUAGUGGUCGCGCUCGUGUCAAGCGUCUAUGUGCACUGACUAAACAGAAGCGUGACAUAAACAAAAAAGGCGGACCUUAGAAUGUACAUACGUUUCAAAUCAUCCCGGGCAAGCCCAGGAGCCGUCCGCGCGGCCGAGGUGCAGGCCUGGCGCCUGUUGAUCCCAGCAUGCCGCCGCAGCAGCCGGACCCGUCUGGGGUGGGUCAGCAGACCGUCUGCCGGAGCUGAGCACCAGACAGCUGCCACGUGACGGCCACGCGGUCGGCACCCACCGGGAUAUCACAGCCCGCAGCUCAGUUCAGUGGGCCUCCGCCGGUGUAGCCCGUCACGGAUUCACACUUUGGAAAAGCAAGGAUGCGCUUAAAUGAUCAGGUUGAUCGACCAGGCUGUCACGAAAUGUCUCCAUUGGCCCCAAGUCGGUGCUCACGAAGUCGUCCAGAAGCGAUUGUUGAAUAACGACACCCGAUUCUUACGGAGGCCGCCCGUAAUUUACAAGUGUGCGAUAUUGGCAGCUGAUGCCACACCUGAGUGCUGUUUAAUACAUGCAGUCGCAGUCUUCUA